UUGCCGUGUGUCUUGUCAGAUAAACCCCCGCCUUCACGCACUUCGUUGCGGGAGGACAAGGAGACUGCUGGUCCUAGCCUAGUUCAGUACAGUAUAUGUUGUGAGCGUGCUUCAGAUCUCCGGAGAUAGCACGGUACACUGUGUCCAGCCCAGAGGUGAAAGCCAUCCAAAGCAGAGUAACUGUGCUUUGCGCCCAAGUUGAUACCUGUGGAGAGAAAAGGAGAGAGAGAUUGAUACCUGUGGAGAGAAAAGGAGAGAGAGUGGGUAACACGAGGUGAGACCGAGGAAACCUGUACUUACGCCGCUGCCUGUGGAGAAAGAGAAAGCGAGUGAGCACCCAAGGAACGAACUGUGUGAACCAGUACUUACUGUGAGCUGUAAUCAGCGAAGAGCCGUUGCCUGUGGAGGAAGAGAAAGAGAGUGAGCACCUCGAGAACGAACUGUGUGAACCAGUACUUACCGUGAGCUGUAUUCAGCGAAGAGGAGGAAGAAGG
ensembl:lncRNA